GACGAACGCUGGCGGCGUGCUUAACACAUGCAAGUGGAGCGACGAACCAGGCUUCGGCCUGGGGCAAAGCCGCGAACGGGUGAGUAACACGUGGGUAACCUGCCCCGAUGAUCGGGACAACCCGGGGAAACCCGGGCUAAUACCGGAUGUGCCCGCACCACACCAGUGGUGCGUGUAAAGGUAGCUUCGGCCUCCGCAUCGGGAUGGGCCCGCGGCCCAUUAGCUUGUUGGUGAGGUAACGGCUCACCAAGGCUGCGAUGGGUAGCUGGUCUGAGAGGACGAUCAGCCACACUGGGACUGAGACACGGCCCAGACUCCUACGGGAGGCAGCAGUGGGGAAUCUUGCGCAAUGCGCGAAAGCGUGACGCAGCAACGCCGCGUGGGGGAAGAAGGCCUUCGGGUUGUAAACCCCUUUCAGUUGGGACGAAGCUCGGGCGGUGAAUAGCCGUUCCGAGUGACGGUACCUUCACAAGAAGCUCCGGCUAACUACGUGCCAGCAGCCGC
rnacentral:rRNA from 1 species